GAACGCAGCGCUCGGAGCCAUGGCCUCGGCCCCCGCGGAGGCGGAGACCCGACAGAGGCUGCUACGCACCGUCAAGAAGGAGGUCUCUGGCAACCUGGCUUCUGGGAGCUUUUGCUAGUGAUGAGCAUCUGUGGCAGCUUAGGCACCCUGGUUCGAUGUGGUCCCUUCUCAAGGUCUCACUUUCCUGCUUUCUAAGUGGACGAGGUUGGACAGCUCCAGGAUUCCAAGAACCUCAACUCAUCUAAUUUGGCCAGUGUCACUCUCUGAGAGCCAAGUCUUUGUUUUUUCCACUCUGAAUUUGCCAAGUAUUUAUUCAAGACUAAUUAAAACUAAGUAGCUGGUAA
rnacentral:lncRNA from 10 species